rnacentral:rRNA from 1 species
ACGGUCCUAAGGUAGCGAAAUUCCUUGUCGGGUAAGUUCCGACCCGCACGAAUGGUGUAACGAUCUGGGCACUGUCUCAACUACCCACCCGGCGAAAUUGUAGUACCGGUGAAGAUGCCGGUUACCUGCGGCAAGACGGAAAGACCCCAUGGAGCUUUACUGUAGCCUGAUAUUGGGUUUCGGAAAUCUAUGUACAGGAUAGGCGGGAGACUAGGAAACAUGAGCGUCAGCUUGUGUGGAGUCGAUGUUGGGAUACCGCCCUUAGGUUUCUGGAAUUCUAACCUGCGGCCGUGAAUCCGGUCGGGGGACAUUGUCAGGUGGGCAGUUUGACUGGGGCGGUCGCCUCCGAAAAGGUAACGGAGGCGCUCAAAGGUUAGCUCAGCACGGACGGAAACCGUGCCUCUGAGUGUAAACGCAAAAGCUAGCCUAACUGCGAGGGUGACGGCCCGAGCAGUAACGAAAGUUGGAGUUAGUGAUCCGGCGGUAUGUGAAUGGAAAUGCCGUCGCUCAACGGAUAAAAGCUACCCUGGGGAUAACAGGCUGAUCUCCCCCAAGAGUCCACAUCGACGGGGAGGUUUGGCACCUCGAUGUCGGCUCAUCACAUCCUGGGGCUGUAUUCGGUCCCAAGGGUUCGGCUGUUCGCCGAUUAAAGUGGUACGCGAGCUGGGUUCAGAACGUCGCGAGACAGUUCGGUCCCUAUCUGUCGUGGGCGCAGGAUAUUUGAGGAGCUCUGUCCUUAGUACGAGAGGACCGGGAUGGACGUACCUCUGGUGCACCAGUUGUCAUGCCAAUGGCACGGCUGGGCAGCUAUGUACGGAACGGAUAAACGCUGAAAGCAUCUAAGCGUGAAGCCGACUCCAAGAUUAGAUAUCCCAUCGUAUAACGAGUAAGACCCCUUGAAGACUACGAGGUUGAUAGGCUGCGUGUGUAAGUGCCGUGAGGCAUUCAGCUUGGCAGUACUAAUAGGUCGAGGGCUUGACCAC